AAAUUGAGUUUUUAAUCCAAGUUCGAUGACCGCGUGUAUUUAACUUAUCGAAAAAGAAAACAUGACUUCAAAUUUAACUUUUUAAGCAGCAAAACAAGCUUUAAAGAUUCAAUUAAUUAAAGCUUUGAGAAAAAGCACUAAACUAACAAAUCAAUUAAGCGAGAUCGCGCUCCUCCUCUUGUGCAAUGUUACAAAAUCGAGAUGGAGCUUCAACUGCCGUCACCGUGGGAGAUGGUUCGGUACAAACACGAGAUACGAACAUCCAUGAACGAAGCUUGAAUUAAUUAAGUUCGCGGGAAAGAGAAAUUACGAAAGGAAUCGAGAGACAUCCAAACACCUCGGCGCAGGAGCUCCGUAUUCCGCAGAAUUCAUCCCUCGUCCCUUUCCGAAAGGUUUUCUUCCAGCAGAGAGAUUGGGGAAAGAAAAGGGCGCGCGGCGGUCGACGGUGGCAGGCGUCGCAGGUAAGAGCUAUGUCCCGCCCGCCCGCGUUCCUUCCCUUCCGGGUGCGGCGCUCUACCGCCACCGUCGCUCGUUCUCCAGCCCCUUCAAGAUCCCACGGCAGAUUCCCCAUCGCCUCCUCCCUCUCCGAUGUGGUAUUCCAGCCACCAUCACCCACUUCCACUUCCAAAUCCGAAAGCAGAACCCGCCUUCCUCCCCCUAAACCCAACCGCGCCAUUCCCCUCUUCAAAUCGAGCUCCGAUAGCGUCGUCCUCCGGGAGGCCCCCUACACCGCCGCCCGCCCGGCCCUCACGUAGUGCUCCGUCGCAGGCGGAUGAUGAUCCGGCCGUUCGGUCGAGGAGGCACGCGCUGGCCGUGGAGAUUCUGGGCAAGGCCAGGAAGGGCGACACGGAGGGUCUACGCAAACUCCAGAAGAAAUUGGUAAAGGCCGGAAGCAAUCUGGUGAGCGCCGUGGCCGGGGUUCCCAGCCUCGAGGGGGUUAAUCUGCUGAGCAAGGCUAUCGAAUGGGAAAAACCAGAAGUGUGCAAGUAUUUGAUCAAGGAUAUCAAAAUCGACAUAAAUGCUCCCAAUGAGCAUGGAUAUACACCCUGAUGUCAGCAAUUCUUGACACCAAAUCUGAAAAGCUUAUAAACCUGCUGCUUCAUCACGGAGCAGAUAUAAACAAAGUUUACAAAGCUGGAAUGACUGCACUCCAUAUUGUGAUAAAUGCUGGUGACAUUCCAAUGACAAAACUGCUGUUGAGAAAUAAAGCAGACGUUAAUGCUGUUUGUGAUGCAGGAACGGCAUUACACAUUGCCACUGUUGAUAAAAAUGUGCCCCUCAUUAUCCUUCUGCUGGAUGCAAACGCUGAUGCAGCCGUUCGAAACAAAUCGGGGUUCAUCCCACUCCAUGUUGCAGUGCUACGAGCUUGUCUCUAUCCUAUGUCGUACUUAAUCCAAAACUGGUAGCAAUUCCUCACCGUGUGUGUGUGUCUUUAUAUACACACACACACACCCAACCGGAUACACCGCGAACGUAUUUUCUCAGGGCAUAGAACGGUGGCGAACUACGGCAAUCCUAGGCGGCUGGGGAAGGAACGGUUAGCGGCGCGCGAGAGCAGACGCGGUGCGGCGGCGGGCUACGCGGCGGGCCGGCUCGCGCCUAGGCCGCGCCGGCGGUUGCGGCUGGGGUGGCUGCCUUGACGACGACGACGACAGGGGCCUGAGCGAGGAGAAGCUCGACAAGCUCGAGCGGGAUGCCUACCGCAAGCUCGGCGAGCGCAAGGCCUCCUCCUCCAAUGCCUCCACCUCUUCCGCGACCCCGCCGCUGCGGCCGGCGGCGACUGGCGGGCGGCCUCGGUGAGCGGUAGCUGUCGUGGUCAGCGGGUCAUAGGUGGUGAGGCGAGAGAGGCGAGACGAUCCAAGCUUGAGGGCGUGAGCGGCGGGGAGAAGGCUGGAGUUGGAAGAAGAACAACGGUGGAGGCUGAGGUCGAUGCAGUCGCCGGCCCACAGACUCGCGUCGUGGUAAUCGGCGACCUCGGCGCCGAGUCCGCCGCUCAGCCCAGCCCUAGCUCGUCGGCCGGCUCCCCAUUGUUGUGUUAUGCCCCUCGUCAGCAGCUCGCCAGCUCGUGUGGAAUUAGCCGCCGCAGCAUGGUGAUCGCUGGCAAACCAGGUGCAGCCGUGAGGAAAACAAGAGAUACAUCAGCACUUCGUGAGUCUUCUUGCUGGAUUCGUCAGGGCUGUUGGCUCUGUACUAUGGCAUAUUUGUCAAAAUUCUUGCUGUGAUUUUUGUUAUUUGUUCUGAAAAUUUUAUGGUUUCUUGGGAAUUUUGGUCUGCCGUUGCUGCAGUGGAAUUUUGGUCUGCCGUUUCUUGGGAAUUUUAUGGUUUCUUGGGAAUCUUUGUCAAAUUCCAGUCGUUUGAUGGUUUUACAGCUGAGAUGAACUACAGGCACUUCAUUUUCUCCUUCUGGAUUCUUUAUUUCAGUAAUUCUCAUUCUAGAUUUGGCAUUGUUGAUCAAGAAGACUCAGAUCAACCUGAUGAAGGGCAGGGUAACUCCUUGUAGAAACCAUGGAACUUUGCUGGGUAAUUAGAAUUUGCAAUUUCGUCUCAAUGCAAACCUUGUCUCUUCCAGGAACUACAAAGAUUUGCUACAGAUGGUUUAGCACGUCACGUAUUUGUGCGGACAAAGAAGGCUAGGGGAGGAGGUUAGAGUAAAAAGGUGCACUUGGUUUCCUUUAGUGUGCUAUAAGCUGUUUGCAGAAGGUAUUCUUGAUGCUACUUUAAUGUGUGAUGUAGGCUAAUCUAAGUUUUCCUUCUUCCAGGCUCUAUUUUGCUUUUCAGAUCAUGUUAUCCGCUUGUCCUAUCUAAUGCCCACUUCAACUCCUAAUUUAUUUGUGUCGUCUUGCCCUUUUUUCCGAUUGUCAGCAUGUGAUUCCUUAGUUUUCUUUUGAGUUCCUCCCUAUUUUGUCCUCUAAGAGAUUUCAUUUUGUGCACCAUAAGUCUUUGAUUGCAUACAUAUAUAAUUUGGGUAUUGAUUUAUUGCUAAUUGAAUAAUUGUUUUCAUAUGGUUGGACAUAACCAGGUUUAGCUUAAAUAAGGUGCUUGCUGGCUUACAACUAUGAUUUAUUUUGUGUUCCGAAAUUACAAUCUGUACUGAUUUAUUUGGAAAAAUUGGACUUUGACCUUUUUCUCUGUGGAUGUGUGUCAAAACUGACAGCUGAGAGCUGAGAUUACUCUGUUGUGAUUUUACGUUGACGACAUUCUAAGGAUAAUAAAACUAGAACUUUUGAUCUGGUGAGAACUUGUUUACUUGUAUUCCACCUUUAUUUACUCUUUUCCUUGUGCCACACAGUGCAGGUUAGGAGGUUGGACAAAAGUACUUUCUGUAUGCAUGGUUCAAGAUUCAAAAUCCACUAGAUUAUCAGAAGUGAGUUUGACUGAAUAUUUUAGCCUUUUAUGAUUGCCGAACAUGAUGAUGUAUAAUCCAAAACCUAAUGUCUUGUUGUUUCAACAGACACUCAAUCACAAAACAACAUGACAUCAAUUUCUUCUUUUACUUAAUUUAAUUUCAGAUAUGGUUUGAUCAUGUAAGAAACUUAGUUAGCUCAAUUUCUUCUUUUACUUAAUUUAAUUUCGGAAUGCAACUUCUAUCAUUUGGAAGAUGGAGUGUACCCUGCUUGCCAAGAUCAUGAUGGUGAUGAGGCAAUGGAGUUCAGAUCUAUUUACUUCUUACUACCUGGCCUAAUGUACGAUGACAAUAAUUCUUACCUCUUGGUAAAAGUCUAUGUUUGUGGAGCUCCAGUGCUUAGAUUAUUCUUCUAUUCCAUUGUUGAAGAAGUUUAGCUUAUUGUCCGAUGCUUAUUCUCUGUAUAUGCAAGUUGCUGAACUAACAGCUCUUAUGGUGGUGGUACCAUGUGGUGGCCAUUUGAAAUAAAAAUAAAGGAGCACCAGAAGAUCAAACUGCCGAUCUAGCUCUGCUUGCUUUCGCAGAUCCUUACAAGAACCGAAGGGCCAGUGGCAUCAUAUUAGAUGGCAGCAAGUGAAUAGUGUAUGGUUAACUGUUAAUUGUUCUCCUUCUGUAUGGAAAAUUUGUAUUUUCUGUUGGCACAUAGAAUUCUCACAUUGACAUGGAAUUUGUAUUUUACGUUGGCACAUAGAAUACUCACGUUGACCUAGAAUUUGAUUUUAUUGGCACUGAGAAUUCAUAUGGGUGUUUUGUUUUCA